rnacentral:rRNA from 1 species
AGAGUUUGAUCCUGGCUCAGAACGAACGCUGGCGGCGUGGAUAAGACAUGCAAGUCGAGCGCUGAUUACGGGGUAGCAAUAUUCUGUGGUCGGAGCGGCGCAAGGGUGCGUAACACGUGGGCAAUCUGCCGUGAAGUUUGGGAUAACUUGCUGAAAGGCGAGCUAAUACCGGAUGUGACAACUGGAAGGCAUCUUCUGAUUGUUAAAGUUGGGGACCGUAAGGCCUGACGCUUCAUGAUGAGCCCGCGGCCUAUCAGCUAGUUGGUGAGGUAACGGCUCACCAAGGCUAAGACGGGUAGCUGGUCUGAGAGGACGACCAGCCACACUGGAACUGAGACACGGUCCAGACACCUACGGGUGGCAGCAGUCGAGAAUUUUUCACAAUGGGCGAAAGCCUGAUGGAGCGACGCCGCGUGGGGGAUGAAUGGCUUCGGCCCGUAAACCCCUGUCAUUCGCGAUCAAACCUUGCUAUUUAAAAGAUGGCGAGCUGAUAGUAGCGGAAGAGGAAGGGACGGCUAACUCUGUGCCAGCAGCCGCGGUAAUACAGAGGUCCCGAGCGUUGUUCGGAUUCACUGGGCGUAAAGGGUGCGUAGGUGGUGAGGUAAGUCGGAUGUGAAAGCUCGGAGCUCAACUCCGAAAUGGCAUUGGAAACUACCUUGCUCGAGGGUUGGAGGGGGGACUGGAAUACUUGGUGUAGCAGUGAAAUGCGUAGAUAUCAAGUGGAACACCAGUGGCGAAGGCGAGUCCCUGGACAACUCCUGACACUGAGGCACGAAAGCGUGGGGAGCAAACAGGAUUAGAUACCCUAGUAGUCC